rnacentral:lncRNA from 1 species
AGAGUUGAACGUCCUGCACUAAGGUCAUUGCAUGCCCUGACAAACCAAAAAGAUAUACCAGAUCUCUGAAGCCUGGAACCCCAGUAGUGCUCAUCUGUGCUGUGGCAGUUUCCCAAACACUAGUACACGACUGCAGGUUAGUGUACUAGCUCCCUGUUUGUUCUUUUCUUGGAUUCAGGUCAAUUUAUCUCUGAUUUGGUUUCCAAAUAGAC